UUGGAGGGCAAGUCUGGUGCCAGCAGCCGCGGUAAUUCCAGCUCCAAUAGCGUAUAUUAAAGUUGCUGCAGUUAAAAAGCUCGUAGUUGAAUUUCGGGACCAUCAUGUCGGUCGUGCCUCGGUACGUACUGGUAUUGUUGGUUUCUCCCUUCUGACGAACCAUGAUGUCAUUUAUUUGGUGUUGUGGGGAAUCAGGACUGUUACUUUGAAAAAAUUAGAGUGUUUAAAGCAGGCUCACGCUUGAAUACAUUAGCCUGGAAUAAUGAAAUAGGACGUUCGAUCCUAUUUUGUUGGUUUCUAGGAUCAACGUAAUGAUUAAUAGGGAUAGUUGGGGGCAUUAGUAUUCAAUUGUCAGAGGUGAAAUUCUUGGAUUUAUUGAAGACUAACUACUGCGAAAGCAUUUGCCAAGGAUGUUUUCAUUAAUCAAGAACGAAAGUUAGGGGAUCGAAGACGAUCAGAUACCGUCGUAGUCUUAACCAUAAACUAUGCCGACUAGGGAUCGGAUGGUGUUAAUUUUUUAAUGACUCAUUCGGCGCCUUACGGGAAAC
rnacentral:rRNA from 1 species